AAAUAUUAUCUUGUCACUGUUUUCUAAAUAAUCCAUCAAACAACUACUUAGGUGGCAUUUGCAUUAUAUUAGGUAUUUAAAAACCAUCUAGAGAUGGGCUAAGUAUAAAAUGAUAUGUAUAAGUCACAUGUAAAUCUUUUACCACUUUAUAAAAGACAGAAUUCAGUGUCUCCUGGGACUUUAAAACCCUUCCACACUGUACAUAUGGAUAUGACUGCUAAUUUAGCAUGGAACAUUUUGGUAACUAUGUUUCAGUAGGUAGUAGGAUUUGUAAAAGUUAAUGAAAGUACAACAUUUUCUUACUAUGGCCAUUUAGUUUAAAACAUGCAAAAAAGUGAUUUUUCGCGUUCGCCUUUUCCUUCUACCCCUUCCUUUGUUUCAGAGAUUACUCCUGACACUAAGUCAGCUGCCUCCUAUGUCAUCAGUCCUACCUCACAGUAAUAGAAAGAUGGGGUCGAUGCUAACAGUGGCAUAAGUGGCACCAAGGACCCAAGCAGCAGUCAAUUAAUACAUCAUAGUCAUGGGCUCAUGUCAUACAUAAGAAAUGUAAACUGUGCUGGCUAUUCCUCGACUGACGGCCACAGAUCAAAUAAUGCAUGAGAGAGACAAGGCAGAGUACCUUCGCUUUCAUACCUGGAUCUAUCUUAAAAAGCUUCACCUGGAAAUUCUAAACCCAGUUCACUCUGAAAGGCUGCUCUACAGGUCACAAAGCUGUGUUCCUACUUUGAAACAUUAAAAAAGUGUGUGUGUGUGUGUGUGUGUGUGUGUGUCCGUGUGUGUGUGUGUGUGUGUGUGUGUGUGUGUGUGUGUGUGUGUAGAGGGUGUGUGUUCUAAGCUGUAACCCAGGGUACAUUGCCAUUAGAGAGAUAGCUUUCAGAUAAGAAAUCAGUAGUCCUCUUUUCUUUUCAAGACACUACAUUAUUGAAAAUGAUAGCUGAUAAUUUACUCCAAGCCACAACUUUAUUCAACGAUACAUGUUCAUAGAGUUCCUCUUCGUGGUUAUCACUCCAUGCCUCAGGAAAUACAACGUGGUAGUUAUCAGCUUUCGCAGUGGAAACAAGUACAAAAAUAGCCAGCCAGUAUUGGGAGUGACUGCUUAACCACUAAUAUGCUAAUAGAAAAUAAUCUAGCACUUCAAAGUUCAGUUUACUUACCAGUACAUAGAAAAUGAAGAAACUGAACCCAUAGUGUUAAUCAGAACUAUUUAGUGGGAGGAAAUGCUUGUGCUGUGCCUGACACAGUGAAUGAAUGCAGAGUGAACAUUGCUAUCAUUAUAACGAAGAAAGGAGUGAACCUAUAAUUAGAAGGUUCCAUGUGUUCUUGUAAACAUUUUAACACGUUAUAAAUCUACUAAUUCACUUCUGCUUGAUCCCUGUCUCUACAUUCAUUAAACACUCUUCUAUGCAAAUCCUAGAGUACUAGGGAAGACUGCCCUUGUUCUCAGGAAAUGUAUUCUAGUUGAAGAAGCAAAGUACAAUGUUUGUUAUCUAUACAGACUGAAGAAUUUGUGUGAACUGUAUAUGAAUAAUAAAGUCUUAAAAUUGGUGGUCGAAGAUCCUUGUUUUGCCAGCUCAAGGUGCUUUUUUGACAGGCUGUGGCUAUUUCAUAGUUAGUCAUCUUUUUGUAUUCCAUGUGUAGAUGGUUUAUUCAAUUCCACAAUGAUUUUUUGGGGGGCUGAAGAUUCAAUAGAGGCUUCUAGAAUUGGCUUUGGGCAGGGUUUUUAGGCUCCUCUUUAAUAAUCCUCCCAUAUCCUCUUCUGUGUUUCUUCUUUCUUAGCACAAAGCAAGUUAUGGUUCAAUUGACUUUCUGUCUGCUUAAUAAAUAUUGAUAUAUUGGAUGCAUUCAGGCAUGGCCCUGUGUGAUCCAUCUUUAAAGGUAGAGUCAUUUUGCAGCAAGGUUGCAAUUUAUUUAUUCCUCAUUCAUUCUCACAACUUCUGAGAGGCCUCAUUAUGCAAAUACUGAGAACAGUCGAGAAAUGGAAAACAAAAGCAGUAUUUGCUUUUAGAAAAAUAGUGGCUAUUGAAAACAAGAUAUCAUCUUAGCAGAGAGGAGUGAGGAGAGCCCUCACUGUGUCCAUUGUGUUCGUGUGCUUUCUUUAGAUAAUAGGAAAAUGUAAUUGAAAGCAAAAUGUGCAAUUUUCUGAUUGUGAGAGCGCCAGUAUUUUUUUUUUCUUCAGCAAAUGUGGAAACCAAAUGUAUAUAAUUCCAUAGACCUAGGAGUCUAGGGAAACAUGAUUAAAUCAGUCUAGAAAUAGAAUACAAUCAUAUGAUUUUUCAAGGAUAUUUCAGACAG